GUGGGGAAUAUUGGACAAUGGGCGAAAGCCUGAUCCAACCAUGCCGCGUGUGUGAAGAAGGUCUUCGGAUUGUAAAGCACUUUAAGUUGGGAGGAAGGGCAGUAAGUUAAUACCUUGCUGUUUUGACGUUACCGACAGAAUAAGCACCGGCUAACUUCGUGCCAGCAGCCGCGGUAAUACGAAGGGUGCAAGCGUUAAUCGGAAUUACUGGGCGUAAAGCGCGCGUAGGUGGUUUUGUAAGUUGGAGGUGAAAUCCCCGGGCUCAACCUGGGAACUGCCUCCAAAACUGCAUGACUAGAGUACGGUAGAGGGUAGUGGAAUUUCCUGUGUAGCGGUGAAAUGCGUAGAUAUAGGAAGGAACACCAGUGGCGAAGGCGACUACCUGGACUGAUACUGACACUGAGGUGCGAAAGCGUGGGGAGCAAACAGGAUUAGAAACCCGUGUAGUCC
rnacentral:rRNA from 1 species